CAGUACCCUUUCUAUCAUUGCUUACACAGUGCAGCUGAGACACAUACAGGCACAGAUAUGCACCAGCCUAGAGAAGCUGCCCAGGAUGGCUGAGAUGAGACAGCCGCUCCUGCCUGGACCAGGGCCGAGAACUGCCAGGUAACCUCUGAGGCCCUGCCCGUGGAAUUCAGCCCGCCAUUGCUGGCUCAUAAUUAAAGCAUGUCACCAUAAUUUGCCUUUUUUUCUUACAAAGCCCAUAAUUAUGUUUUUAUUGCAAGUGAAG